UACAGAGUUUACGUCUUUGUUUCCAAAUAUUCUCAAGAAAGGAUUCCUUGAAACACGAAAAAGUCAAGAGAACUGUUGGAUGAGCUGUUAUGCCGAGAUUUCCCCAUACAAAUUUCACGUAUAUAGUACUGAUAGCAGUGGAAAUCAUAAUCCUCUGUUUGCUUACCCUCUUGUUCAUAUAGAAAGUAUCACAAUCACAGGUAGCCAUGAAACCAAGCUUGUCGAUGUUAUAUUUACAGACAACAGCCAAGUGCAACUUAAGGCGGAUUCUGCAUGGGAAGCCAUGGAUUGGGGACAGAAGUUAUGGGAAGGAGUGCGUGCCUUGACAUUAAUCCCAAAUUAUGUGAACAAUCAGCAGGAGGUCUUGGCAAGAUCAAAGAGCAUUAGUGAUAAUGGUGGUGACUAUUUGGAAAAUCAUGGCUUAACGUAUAAGACCAAUGAAGUUCCCAGUUCUAUCAACCUGUCCAAUGGGUUCUACAAAAAUAUUUUGAAAACAGGAACACUUUAUAGGUUAACAGUACAGAAUAACUGGAAAGCUUUCACGUUUAUACUGUCAAGUUCACAACUUACAGCUUUUAAACCAGGUUGCCUGGAUGAGGAUCCAUUGCUCAGCUAUAAUAUUGAUGUAUGCACAUCGGUCCAAAUGGACACUCUUGAUGGAUAUGAUUCCUGUUUUCAAGUGAUUUUUCCUCAUGAUGUCCUACGACUCCGUACAGAAACAUGUCAAAGGGCACAGGAAUGGAUGGACGCUAUAAUAUCUGCUGCUAACUCUUCUAAGAAAUCAGAAGAACAUCUGCUAGUGCCUCUGCGGAAUAAGCCCAAAGCCCCAAAAAUGAGAGAACUUCAAAAGAGUAAGCGGCAGUCUGUGACCACAAGCUUUCUGGGGAUCAUAACAACAUUGGCUCUGGAGAGGGGGCUCACCGCUCAAAGUUUCAAAUGUGCAGGU